UGGGAUUCGCCUCUUUUUCAGUGGUCUUUUACACGCACGAGAUUUACAUUAGGAGGAGGAAAUAAUGGUGUUUGAGGCUCACGGUGUCAUUUCCAUGUACAGAACUCUCAUUAUUCAACUAUGCUAAGUCGAGAGGUGUUUCCUGAAGGCUCUGGAGGCUGUCCAUUUGACAUUGACAGAAGAUUGACACACUGACAUCACAUUCAUCUUCAACUCUCUUGGCACCUACAGUUAAUGGAUGAACUGUCUCCAAUACAUCAAACUGUCUGCAUGCUGUUGCUGAAGGAAUAUUGACAUUCACUAUAUGAUUGAUACUACGGGGCCAAAACAUUUUACCAGGAAAAGAGUUUUGGGAAAAUUGUCAGGCAUGAUCAUAAACAACACCACAAACCAAACUGGCCUGCCGGAGGACUUUAGAAUUGCUCUUCUGGUUUUAUAUAUAUUCAUCUUUCUCGCUGGGACUCUGAAUGUUGUACUAAUGUCCUGUAUGCUACAGUCUCAAAGAUGUCUGUCUUUCACCAAAGUGUCUGUGAUCAACCUGAUAGCAGUGCACUCCUUUUUCCUUCUCACGGUGCCCUUUCGAAUUUACUAUUAUGCUUCUGAUGAAGACUGGAUUCUGGGCAUACAUUUCUGCAAAAUUGUCAGUCUUAUGAUUCAUGCCCACAUGUAUCUUGCAUUCAUCUUCUAUGUCUUCCUUCUAAUUGUGCGCUAUGUGGAGCACUCUGAUCAG